rnacentral:rRNA from 1 species
UACGAAGGGGGCUAGCGUUGUUCGGAUUUACUGGGCGUAAAGCGCACGUAGGCGGAUUGUUAAGUCAGGGGUGAAAUCCUGGAGCUCAACUCCAGAACUGCCUUUGAUACUGGCAAUCUCGAGUCCGGAAGAGGUAAGUGGAACUCCUAGUGUAGAGGUGGAAUUCGUAGAUAUUCGCAAGAACACCAGUGGCGAAGGCGGCUCACUGGCCCGGAACUGACGCUGAGACGCGAAAGCGUGGGGAGCAAACAGG